rfam:Desulfosporosinus sp. BRH_c37 BRHa_1005638, whole genome shotgun sequence.
UAGAACUUGUCAUUUGAAUUGGUAGGGGAAGUACCUACCUGACCCUGUGUGAGGGGUUACAAAAUCUCUAAUACUCCGACGUGCAUAAACAGUACCAUGUUUAUUGUACGAAGCUCGGUGAAGUGCAGAAAAAGUUAUCUGUGAUGAUGGCAAGUAUGCUGGAGGCUAAAAA